rnacentral:rRNA from 1 species
AACGAACGCUGGCGGCAUGCCUAAUACAUGCAAGUCGAACGAACACUUCGGUGUUAGUGGCGCACGGGUGCGUAACGCGUGGGAAUCUACCCUUGGGUUCGGAAUAACAGUUGGAAACGACUGCUAAUACCGGAUGAUGACGUAAGUCCAAAGAUUUAUCGCCCAAGGAUGAGCCCGCGUAGGAUUAGCUAGUUGGUGAG